rnacentral:siRNA from 1 species
ACUCAAACUCGUCCUACCAUCUAA